CAUCCGCAUGAGCUGUCCCCACACUCUGCCCCUCAUCCAGCUUGGUGCAUGGCCCUGCGCCCCCCACCAUGGGAGGGCCUGCUCCAGGCCAGGAGGGUGGGGCGUCGCAGCCUGGUCCUGGCUAGACUAGGGGUCCCAUCAGGCUUCGUGCUUUGCCAUGGCCCAGCACAGCAGCCCCUUUCGCCCCUACUGGGUGCUGAGAUCAUCACCUCUCCUCACAGGUCAAAGCUCAAUGCCCCUCGUGACAACAGGGAGCCCCCAAGUAAGUCUCCACCUCCAACAGACCUGGGUGAGACGAACCCCGGACCCUCGUCAGCCGUGGUGUGGAACAUGCCCACUGCUAGAGCAGGCAAAGAAACGCCCGGGGCAGCCAGAUUUUCCAAAGAGCACUGCACCCGACACGUGCCCAACCUGCCAAGCUUUCUUGGGAGCCCUGGCCCACGUUCACACUUCACCUUGGUCCCUUUCCAGGUUUCCAGGAGAUUUUGGGCCAUCCCAAAAUCCAGGAUGCUUCAGUGCAAGGCUUGCAGUGCAUUAAAGACGCUCUCUGUUCUGCCAGAGUCCGUGCUCUGCACUGGGGCAAUUCUGCAAGACAGCACAUGGGUCACGAAUCUUCCGCAGGAGAGCUGGGAGGGGGCAGAGAGGACGGCAGCUGUACAUACAUCACAAUGUUACGGACCUGUGACCGCAGCUUUCACUGAAGACCUCACGUGACAGUCUUUGGUGCCCCAGAAUGCGGCCAGGGCCCAGCUGCGUCUCCAGCACUGUGAGAACGGGGAUGCACAGUACGGCUCCAGGAUCGGGCCCCCUGCAGCUAGAGGACACUCCCCAGCUUGCUACACGAGCACCUGUAUGGACUUAAGCCUAUUGCAGCCUGCACCGGGGCAGGGGGAAGGUGGGGUGACAGGCAUGUUUCCUGACUCGCCCAGUUCCUGGAGACAGGUAGUUCUCUGUCGCUGGCACCCCUGCCCAGCCCUCACCAGCAGGCAGCGCAGCCACGCCCAACUUGGGAGGGCAAGGGGAGGUGCUUGUGGGAGAAGUGUAGGGGUGAGGAGUGGAAGUAGGGCAAGGGGGCAUCAGUGACGGGCACCAGUGACUCUGCUCCCCUCCAUCACGUGGUCUCACCUGGGGCAUGAAAGCAGCAAUCCAGGCCCCCGGGAGACCUCGGCUGGGUUACGAGCUGCCUUUCAGUGGUACCCUACAAGCCACCAGGAAGCAGGCACAGUAGCACAAGAGCUGGGAAGCCUUUGCCCUGUGAGCGACCGACGCACCCACCCCCAAAUGGCCGCCAAGCGUGUCAGGGUUUCACCAGAGCAGAUUGAGCCCUAGAUUCGACUGGGCAGGUUUAACUGAGGGCUCCCCGGGGCCUGUGCCCAUCACAGCCACCGAAAGCAGCAGGGCUGGAACCGCUGACGGCCCAGAUAACUGGAGAGGGCAGGGGCCCUUGGCAGAUCCCCAGGAGCCUCGGGGGGUGGCUGAAGACUCUGUUGCUGCAGCCAGGCGGGAUCAUUGACUGAGUCGGAGGUGGAACCCGCUGGCUCCCGCUGCGUUCACAGCUCUCACUUGGAGCCUGGUGCCUCACUUGUUUAACAUUGCAUCCUGCCUGUAGGGCUUGGCCGUUUCCCCUUCCCAGUCAAAGCCUACCCAUGGACUGUGCCACGCUCCGGGGCCACUGGGGGCAGGACAGUGGCACAGCAGGGCUAACACUACCCCUUCCCCAGGUCGAGUCCUGCCAAAGGCAAAGCCAUUUCCCCGAGGGAAGCGGGGGCUAUAGGAGAAAACGGCCCCAAACUGAAUGACCAAGUUGCUCGCCCCUUCCCUGAGCUGCAGGUAGAGCCAGGCUGGCUGAUGCAGCGCGCAGAGCAAAGACGGUCACGGGGAUCCCUGCAGAGAUGCCUGUGGUGCUGGAUCUCACUGGCCAUAUGCAGCAUGCACAGUCUAGGUGUCUCAGGCCAAGAGCAGAAACCUCAAGGCCCGGAAAGAGCACAGGGCAAGAGAGGGACGGACCCAGCUAGCCCAGCGACCAGUCCUCCAGGCCUGGGAGAGGAGCAGGCUGCAGGUGAAAGAUUUGAAACUGCAGGGGCCAUCCCAGAGCACAGGGAUGCCCAGAGCACAGUGCCUAGCCAGCGCUCUGCAGUGCCAGGCCAGACCGUCUGAUUUGGCUCCAAUCUAUUCCCUAGGCCAGAAUGGAGGGGUGCGUGGCUCCCCAUGGGGCGUGACUCAUGACAGAGUGCCGAGAGCUCCCACUGGGUCCUGCGGGCCAGAGAGCCCUCAACACGGCUGCGGAUGGGCCCCUGACCUGCCGCUGCCCCGCUGAGCACUGGGGCAGGGAGCGGCUCUCCCUCAGCAGAGGUUGUGGUGUGAGCCCCCCCACGCAGCCGAGAGCGGAGAGAACAGGCGAGACACGAGCAGGAGGCUGAG